rnacentral:tRNA from 1 species
GGGGAUGUAGCUCAAGUUGGCUAGAGCGCUACAAUGGCAUUGUAGAGGUUGUGGGUUCAAUUCCCAUCGUCUCCA